GAUGAACGCUGGCGGCGUGCUUAACACAUGCAAGUCGAACGAAAAAGGCCCGCUCGGGUGUGUUUCACGAGGCGAAAGCGGGAGUAACACACGUGAAUCCCGUCCCUUUCACUUGGAUAUACACUGAAAACAGUGGAUAAUACACAAUAUAUCAAGUCUUCCUCCUGGAAGAGUGGAGGAAACUUUCGGCGGGUGGGGAUGGACUCGCGGCUUGUUAGCUUGUUGGUGGGGUAGGGGCUUACCAAGGCAAUGAUGGGUAGCGGGCUUGAGAGGCUGACCGGCCACAUUGGGACUGAGAUACGGCCCAGACUCCUACGGGAGGCAGCAGUGGGGAAUAUUGCACAAUGGGCGGAAGCCUGAUGCAGCAACGCCGCGUGCGGGAUGACGGCCUUCGGGUUGUAAACCGCUUUCGGCAGUGACGAAGCGUGAGUGACGGUACCGGGUAAAGAAGCACCGGCUAACUACGUG
rnacentral:rRNA from 1 species